UACGUAGGGUGCAAGCGUUAUCCGGAAUUAUUGGGCGUAAAGAGCUCGUAGGCGGUUUGUCGCGUCUGCUGUGAAAACUGGAGGCUCAACCUCCAGCCUGCAGUGGGUACGGGCAAACUAGAGUGCGGUAGGGGAGAUUGGAAUUCCUGGUGUAGCGGUGGAAUGCGCAGAUAUCAGGAGGAACACCGAUGGCGAAGGCGGCUUGCUGGGCAUUGUCUGACGCUGAGGCGCGAAAGCGUGGGGAGCAAACAGG
rnacentral:rRNA from 1 species